rnacentral:rRNA from 1 species
CAGUAGCCGCGGGAAUACGUAGGGUGCGAGCGUUAAUCGGAAUUACUGGGCGUAAAGCGUGCGCAGGCGGUCCGUUAAGACAGAUGUGAAAUCCCCGGGCUUAACCUGGGAACUGCAUUUGUGACUGGCGAGCUAGAGUAUGGCAGAGGGGGGUAGAAUUCCACGUGUAGCAGUGAAAUGCGUAGAGAUGUGGAGGAAUACCGAUGGCGAAGGCAGCCCCCUGGGCCAAUACUGACGCUCAUGCACGAAAGCGUUGGGAGCAAACAGGAUUAGAUACCCCGGUAGUCCCUGUCUCUUAUAC